ensembl:lncRNA
GUUUUCCCAGAAGGAAUGCUUAAAUUUAGGAAGGGUUAUUUACUCGUCAGACAAGUUCAUGACGGCAAUGUUAGAAGUUUAAAACAGGGAGAAAAAUUCACUGUGAUCUUGUUACUCCCAACUGGCCGAGUGACCACCUUCUCUUUCCAUUCACCGGCCUGAGAUUUCCCCAGGACGUCGUGAAUGUUUAACCUGGCAUCCAGCCUCACCCACAGAGGAGUCUUACCUUAUGGCGACUGGGCCUUACUGAAAUUCCCUUGGCUAUUUGUGGACUUUUACUCUUCUUUAUAAGUUUUUAGAAUUAAUCUUUCCACUUGAAAAAUCAUCUUGAAUUCAAGUUCCGGGGAUCUAAGGCACGGCAGGUGUGGCUGAACGGAAUUGUUGAAAUGUAGUAAAGCUCUGAAUCUGAGGAAAAAGCAUGUUAUCUAGGGUUCUAACAAUAUUAAUAUUUGAGGUGACAUCAUUCAUCAUGCCUUCUAAAAUGCACCAAAUGAUUAGUUUCAAAAUGAAAUCAGCCUGUUGAAGUAUUCACCCAAGAGACUUUAAGAGAUGCUUCUCUCCCAGUAACGGAGGAGGUUAGUUCUCGGCACGAGGCACAAAGGCAUGAGGUCAUGAACCACUCUCUGAAAUCUCCUUUAUUUCACAGCUCCCAAGUGUUAGAGAGAAUUAAUUGCUCAACUGUAAAAACUGGGUCCCAGAGAAGUUUCAAAAACCAGCCAGAUGGGAGAGUUUUACAGUAUACGUGCUCUCAUACCCAGCAGCAAAACACCGGAGGAGAAAAAAAAAGCUUACGUUUCCAUUGUCGGCACAAUACCUAUAAUUUUCCUUUGUUCUUGAGGAUACAAACUGAGAGCGAUUAAGGGCGAAAACUAUAUACCUGAAUUUUCAUAAUGUCGGGCGCUAGGAUUGUCAUCAUUUGCUCAGAAAAA